UCAGGAUGAACGCCGGCGGUGUGCCUAAUACAUGCAAGUCGAACGCGUUGGCCCAACUGAUUGAACGUGCUUGCACGGACUUGACGUUGGUUUACCAGCGAGUGGCGGACGGGUGAGUAACACGUAGGUAACCUGCCCCAAAGCGGGGGAUAACAUUUGGAAACAGAUGCUAAUACCGCAUAACAAUUUGAAUCGCAUGAUUCAAAUUUAAAAGAUGGCUUCGGCUAUCACUUUGGGAUGGACCUGCGGCGCAUUAGCUUGUUGGUAGGGUAACGGCCUACCAAGGCUGUGAUGCGUAGCCGAGUUGAGAGACUGAUCGGCCACAAUGGAACUGAGACACGGUCCAUACUCCUACGGGAGGCAGCAGUAGGGAAUCUUCCACAAUGGGCGCAAGCCUGAUGGAGCAACACCGCGUGAGUGAAGAAGGGUUUCGGCUCGUAAAGCUCUGUUGUUAGAGAAGAACGUGCGUGAGAGCAACUGUUCACGCAGUGACGGUAUCUAACCAGAAAGUCACGGCUAACUACGUGCCAGCAGCCGCGGUAAUACGUAGGUGGCAAGCGUUAUCCGGAUUUAUUGGGCGUAAAGCGAGCGCAGGCGGUUUGAUAAGUCUGAUGUGAAAGCCUUUGGCUUAACCAAAGAAGUGCAUCGGAAACUGUCAGACUUGAGUGCAG
rnacentral:rRNA from 2 species